CUUGAAAACGUGAGGUUUUACAAGGAGGAAGAGAAGAAUGACCCCGAGUUUGCCAAGAAGUUGGCUUCUCUUGCAGAUCUCUAUGUUAACGAUGCCUUUGGAACUGCUCACAGAGCCCACGCUUCCACUGAGGGUGUGGCUAAGUACUUGAAACCUUCUGUUGCUGGUUUCCUUAUGCAGAAGGUUUGUUGUAUUUUAUCAUCUUUCUUGUUGAGAAUGGAAAUAGAAAUCAACACUCGAUCACUUUUGGUUGUUAUUGUGAAAAUGCUUGAUGGGGCAACUAAUGGUGUGCUUUUGGUUUAGGAACUUGACUACUUGGUCGGAGCUGUGUCUAAUCCUAAGAGACCAUUUGCUGCAAUUGUUGGUGGUUCAAAGGUGUCUUCAAAGAUUGGAGUGAUUGAAUCCUUGUUGGAAAAGGUUAAUCUUCUUGUUCUUGGUGGAGGAAUGAUCUUUACCUUCUACAAGGCCCAAGGACUUGCAGUGGGUAAAUCACUUGUGGAAGAAGACAAGCUUGACCUUGCUACCUCGCUCAUUGAGAAGGCAAAAGCCAAGGGAGUUUCUCUUUUGCUUCCAACCGACGUAGUGGUAGCAGAUAAAUUUGCUGCUGAUGCUGACAGCAAGGUUUGUAGUUAACUUUUUUUCAAUCAAAAAAGCUGUACAAAAAAUAAAAAUAAACAUAAAACAUAAACAAACUGAACAAAAACUUUUUUCAAUCGAAGAUGGUACCAUUUUCAACUUCGACAUUCUCUCAUUGCAAGUAGUUUUUCCAUCCUCUUUCAGGUUGUGGCAGCAUCAAGUAUUCCAGAUGGCUGGAUGGGUUUGGAUAUUGGGCCUGAUUCUAUCAAGAGUUUUGGUGAAGCUUUGGAUUCUACC
rnacentral:lncRNA from 1 species